rnacentral:rRNA from 1 species
CCUACGGGGGGCUGCAGCUAAGAAUAUUCCGCAAUGGACGAAAGUCUGACGGAGCGACGCCGCGUGGAUGACGAAGGCCGAAAGGUUGUAAAAUCCUUUUGCUGAUGAAGAAUAAGCGUGGUAGGGAAUGACCGCGUGAUGACAUUAGUCGGUGAAUAAGCCCCGGCUAACUACGUGCCAGCAGCCGCGGUAACACGUAGGGGGCAAGCGUUGUUCGGAAUUAUUGGGCGUAAAGGGCAUGUAGGCGGUUUGGUAAGCCUGAUGUGAAAUCCUGCAGCUUAACUGUAGAAUUGCAUUGGGUACUGCCGAACUUGAAUCACUGAGGGGAAACUAGAAUUCCAGGUGUAGGGGUGGAAUCUGUAGAUAUCUGGAAGAAUACCGGUGGCGAAGGCGGGUUUCUAGCAGAUGAUUGACGCUGAGGUGCGAAAGUGCGGGGAGCGAACAGGCUUAGAUACCCCUGUAGUC